rnacentral:antisense_RNA from 2 species
CUUCAACGAGCCGAGCCGGAGCGGCUGUGCGGCGUCCCGAUGGCGGCCGUAGGUGGCCAGCAGGGCCUGCGCCUC